CUAACGCACUAGGGGGGUUAUGUUAUAACUGAGAUGAGGUAGAACCUCAAACCCUUUGAACCUGAUCUAGAUGAUACUAGCGUAGGAAAGUGAGCGAUUACUAUU
rnacentral:ncRNA from 2 species